ACCUGCAGUCGAGCGAAUGNGAUUANGAGCUUGCUCUUAUGAAGUUAGCGGCGGACGGGUGAGUAACACGUGGGUAACCUGCCCAUAAGACUGGGAUAACUCCGGGAAACCGGGGCUAAUACCGGAUAACAUUUUGAACYGCAUGGUUCGAAAUUGAAAGGCGGCUUCGGCUGUCACUUAUGGAUGGACCCGCGUCGCAUUAGCUAGUUGGUGAGGUAACGGCUCACCAAGGCAACGAUGCGUAGCCGACCUGAGAGGGUGAUCGGCCACACUGGGACUGAGACACGGCCCAGACUCCUACGGGAGGCAGCAGUAGGGAAUCUUCCGCAAUGGACGAAAGUCUGACGGAGCAACGCCGCGUGAGUGAUGAAGGCUUUCGGGUCGUAAAACUCUGUUGUUAGGGAAGAACAAGUGCUAGUUGAAUAAGCUGGCACCUUGACGGUACCUAACCAGAAAGCCACGGCUAACUACGUGCCAGCAGCCGCGGUAAUACGUAGGUGGCAAGCGUUAUCCGGAAUUAUUGGGCGUAAAGCGCGCGCAGGUGGUUUCUUAAGUCUGAUGUGAAAGCCCACGGCUCAACCGUGGAGGGUCAUUGGAAACUGGGAGACUUGAGUGCAGAAGAGGAAAGUGGAAUUCCAUGUGUAGCGGUGAAAUGCGUA
rnacentral:rRNA from 1 species